rnacentral:lncRNA from 1 species
UCCCCGGUCACCAAUCACCAUAGGAUGUAAUCUGAUACUCUCACAAAUAUGAAUCCAUUUUAUAUUUGUCACACGUUAAACUUUUUCUUUAAUUCAUAAAUAUCUAAAAUACUAUAUAGAAUAGUAACACAAAGAUCGGUGUUACUAGAUUCAUUAUAAAAUUACUACAUAUUCAACAUAGAUCUUAGAGCUGGUAUUAUGCCAAACAAUGCCCUUAGUAUUACUUUUAUCCCCCACAACGUAUGUGUGUGCCCUCGGUGGAUCAAUUGUCAAAUUUAAGAUCAGCUUUGUUAAAAUUAGUAAUCAAAUUCUAUUGUUUAGCUAUAAUUUCUAAAAAUAAUAAAAAAAUCCUCAGAAAAAAAGGUCCAGAACAGCCUUGCUAUUUUACUAAGUCAUA